CUGGGGGGAGUUGCGCCGCGACGCGCACCGUCGCUUUGCAGGAGCGCUGCGGUGCGGUGACUCCCAGCGCCGGUGCUCAGAGCCGGGCGGGAUACGGAGCGCUGCGGGAAGGAUGCGGUCCGCAACAACGCACCCCGGUAACGCGGGCUGCUAGGAAAAUAAAAGUUAUCCAGACUCAAAACACACUCGUCAAACACACCGAAAAGUUUGAAUUAUUUAUUUCCUCUGGGGACUCCUGUAUCCAUUUAUUUUUAAUAGAGCCUAAUUAAGAGUUCCCCAGCGGGUUUUACUUUCGUAAAUAUUUCAGAUGAUUUCGGGCUUCCGGGCAAAUCCUCCAGAGGAAAAGAAAAAUGUAAUGAAAGAAGCGAGGCGCGGAGUUUCAGCCCUUCCCUCCCGUCGGCCGAAGCGACAACAAGUGGCCGCCGGGCGCGAGCAGCGCGGCCCCUUCGGGAACGGCCCGGGGGCUCCGGAGAGGAACGAAGAUACACCGCGACGCGACGGCUCCGGGCCCGGCCGAGGAGCGGCUGUGCGGGACGGGACGCAGCGAGCGGCGCGUAAAGAGUACGGAGAGCUCUUCGUUUUAAAGAUAGAAGAAAACGAGGCACAGGGAAAGGAGAUUUUUCGAUCAUUUUUUUUUUUUUUUGGAAGAAAUCCGGUAAACAAAACAAACAAACAAAAAAUUAAAACUUUUCUUCGUCUGAUAUGUCAAAACAUCGUUCACAGUAAAAUUCACAAACCGAUUUACAUAAGUUUACAGCUUAAGAAAAACCCAGACACACAACUUGCUAUAAAUAAAAGAAAGGGUUUGCGACCCGCACAGCUCUCUCCCACCGCCCCCUUUCCGUAGGAACAAAACCCUAAAGUUAAAAACUCUACGAAUUGCGGACACGAACCGAGCGGCGCUCGGCAAGGUGGGAAGAACAACACUUUCAGUAACCACAACGAAAAUGUAAACAACGGAACGACUGAGUUUGAAAACAACGCCCGCCGGGUCGGUUUUUCGUUUUGUCAUUGCAACGCUAAAAUGGAACGGGGCGAUGCACCAUCUUUAAGACUCGGAAGCGAACAAAACUACGCCCAACCCCGCGGAGACCGGGAGAGUCGCCGUGGCUUAAGAACUUCGCGGGGCUUUAGGAGGCGGUUGCGCUCUGUUAAAAGAACAGAUUGCCCAAAUCGUUUUUUUUUUUUUUUGUACAAAAGAAAAAAGAAAAUGAAGACAACGAACGGAUUUUCUGUUUAAAAUUUCUCCCAAGUUAGUAUCGAGUCUGCUGAGCCGCACGUCCCGGCGCUGGGGUUGCGAUGAGGAGCCGUCCGGAGGAGGCCAGUUUGUUUAUAUGUGAGUUAGUGGUACGGUGCCGUUCACGGCAGUCCCGGCACUCUGGUAGUGCUGGUGCACACUGUGCAACCUGCUGCCCUGCAGGGCCGAAGGGUCUGUGGCGUCGCCCCCCGGGGGCAGGUACAUGCUGAUCAUAUCCCGCAGGUCUCCCAGGCAGGCCCUCUGCGAGUGCGAGGUGAUGGCCGGCGGAGGCGAGCUGGGCUCGGACUUGACCACCGAGCCCAUGGAGCCCAGGCUCAUGGCCGUGGAGGGCUGCUGGCCGUAGGCGGCGGGGGACAUGCUGUAGGUGGAGGCGGCGUUCAUGUAGGUCUGCGCCGUGGACAUCAUGGGGCUGUACUGCAGGCCCGGCAUGUCGUAGCGGUGCAUCUGCUGCAGCUGCGGGCUGUUCAUGCCCGGGUGCUGCCCGUAGCCCAGCUGGUCUUGCAUCAGGGAGUAAGCCCCGUUGGUCCAACCGUUCAUAUGAGCGUAAGUGUCAAUCCUCUGGCCCACCCCGACGGGGCUGCUCACCGCGUUGCCCCCUCCGGGGGCCAGCAGGUUGCCCGGCAGCGAGUAUUUGUCCUUCUUCAGCAAGGUCUUGGUCUUCCUCCGGGGCCGGUAUUUGUAAUCCGGGUACUCCUUCAUGUGCACGGCCCGCAGCCUCUUGGCCUCGUCGAUGAAGGGCCGCUUCUCGGCAUCGCUCAGCAGCUUCCAAUCGGCCCCGAGGCGCUUGCUGAUCUCCGAGUUGUGCAUCUUGGGAUUCUCCUGGGCCAUCUUCCGCCGCUGGCCCCGCGACCACACCAUGAAUGCGUUCAUGGGGCGCUUCACCCGGUCCUGGUCCGACCCGGCACCCGCUCCGCUGCCGGCCCCGCCGCCGCCUUUGCCGUUGCCGCCCGGGGCCGGGUUCCCCCCGGCGCUGCCCGGCGUGGGCUGCGGCGUCUUGAUCUCGGUCUCCAGCAUGCUGUACAUGGCCGGGGCCGGUAAGAGAUGCGCCAGGGUGGCAGACGGGCGGGCACAGCUCGGGGAAAGGAAGUUCAAAAUAAUAAGAGUAAAAGAAAGAACCGGUCCGGGCGGCGGCCGCAGGAGGGGGAAGGAGUUUUCCCGUGCCGCUCCCCGAGGUGCAGCGGAGGUUCCCGCGGGCAGCGCUGAGCGACGCGCACACCUCUCCCGGGGGCAUUUGAUUGACGGGCUAUAAAUGAGAGGGCGGCGGCCAAUCAGCGAGCGGUUCCCGACAGCCCCAACGCCGGUAAUGGGUCGGUUUGGAGAGGACGGGGAUGGGCGAAAAGUUGGUGUUUGGGGACUGCUGGGACCGAGCCCCUCCCGCCGCAACCCCCGAGGUGCCGGACCGGCAGCGGGCACUCCGCAGGGUGCGGAGCGGGCAGCGGGGAUCGUGCAGCUGCCGGCGGGGCUGGGAGCCGGGAUGCGGAGCCGGGGUUGCGGAGCGGACGGGAGGACCGCCGCGAGCGGAUCCACGAGUUUGGCGGGCACAAAGAAAUCCGAGGUUUCCGGCUGGAUCCGCCGCCUCGAGACUGUACGAACAGCUGUUCCUGUAGCUCACGCAGCGGAUGAAGGCGACGAGAACUAAAACUUUCGCCUCCGGAGCGGUGUCUGCGUAGGGAAGCCGCUCUGCCCUGUCGGCACCGGGGGCGGCUGCCGGGCGCUCCGUUCAGGUGCCAGGCGGGUGCCCCGCCGCAGCACCGUGCCCCCCUUCGUGUCGCUGAGCCGGGUUGGAUGCCGGCAGGACGCUCCCGGCCCCCCACCCCUCGCCGAACCUCGGCCACUUGUGUUUUUUCCAUUCGGCUGCACCAGGGGGAGGGGGAAGGGGGAUGGUGCUUUGUAAAAACGGUUUUCAUGGCAACGGCGAAGUUCCCUCCGUGUGAAAGAAAACUUGGGAAAGCUGGGGUGACCGGAGAGGAGCUCCCUGCAGCUGUCAAUCACGGGCUUCCCUUUCCGUCCCUCCCCUCCCCUUCCCUUUCCUUCCCUUCCUCCCUCGGAGGCGCGAACGCCCGCACCUACGCGGCCGGGGCCGGGAGCUCCCGAAAGGCACACAGCCUGUCUGCGCUCUUUCUCCUUCCUCAUCCUCCCGCCGUGUCCCGCUCCAGCUCCGCACGGGCAGAGGCACGGGACAGCCCGUUGCCGGCGGAGAUCCAUCACUGCCGGUGCUUUGCGAUCAAACUGCACCGGGGGCGCGGGACUGGGCAGAGGGCUCGGAGCAGACGUGCCUGGGCACCCCGUCCCCUCCAGGGGGGGCGGCGAGGAGGGAAGCUGCAGCUUGGCAGCCCUCGGUAAGAGAAGAGCGUAAGGAUAACGGGGCUGAUUUGCAGGGCCGGGGGAGGACACGGGGGAAGCAGCCGGGGGCUCUGCCCGGGCAGGUGCCGACAGCCCCGCGUCCUGCGGGGGGAACGCGAAACGUGACGGCUGCAAACAAACGGCGGUGCUGGAAGGGGGGAACCGACACGGUGUGCUGGGUGGGGGUUUUAUCGGAGUGAGUCGGAGCACUACAGUGCAAAGUUGUCGCUCGUUUUGUAAGCAUUUCUUUACUGGCAAAAUCAUCCGAACAAAGUCAGUGAGGGGAAAUAACGCCGCUUGGACUAGCUACGGUGCGCCAGGAGCUCUGUCUGUUUGGUUUCUUGCUCAGAAGUGUUGGACGAAGCGAACGCUUUGCAGGGAGGCAGCGGGUUUUACUUAUGGCGCUGUCGCGCAAAGCGCGCCGCGGGAGGAACUUCUGCAGCACAUCGGGAGAGUUUUGGAGAGCUCUAUUUAAGUCCAAACUCCUUCAAACAUUUUGAUCGCUCAGGCCAGGGCUAAACCUUGCCGGGCAGGGGUGGGAGACGGGCUGAUCUAUGUCCUGGCCGCUCUAAAAUGUUCUGAUACGAGCGUUUGUCGGAGCGACCGAGCACGCAUACACUCAACGAACCAGUCGGCGGGGUACGGAGCUGGGGCAUGUCGACAGCCCUGCGAGCGGGGUCAGAGAUCGAAAUAAAUAGUACAAGCUUCAAACUCUUAUUUAGUCUUUCAGUUUGUCUUCCCGCGGCCUGAGGCAUCAAUUGCAUUGUUAGCGUGUAUAUAUAUAUAUAUAUAUUUUUUUUUUCCCCAGCGGACACAUCAUUUAGCAUCCCACGGUCCAAGUUAUUAAAAGGCAAUAUUUCUCUUGAAACAUCACACAUCUCCUCACUGAUGAAUAAGAAGCAAGAAGGGGUGAGCAGGGCACCCAGCUCGGAACCUCUCGAUAAUGGUUCUGCCGCGAUCUGAACUCUCGAGAGGAGAGGCAGAAGGUGCUGUCCCGCGAAGCCGCGUUCCUCCCCCGCCGCGUGCCAGGGGAGCACCUGCGGCCGGAUUCCCAGGGAGUGGGGCUGAGGAGCGGUGCGGGUCCGGGCAGAACGAAGUGAGGCUCAGCCGUGGCUCUGCCACCAGCAUCACUCUGCUAACGCAAGGGACCCUCUCCUCGGUUGGAAGCUACAGAUCGCUGCUGAGGCAGAGUAGAGAAGGAAGGGAAAGAGAGGCAAGUCCCGCUAUACAAGCUGUUAUUUCCAAAAACGUCUUGCCGAGCGCUUUAAAAAGUCCGAUCCCAGUCCCAGCCUGGUUCCCGGUCCUUCCCGUGAGCAGAGUUGCUGCCAAGCAGGGAAGGGGCAGAAGCAGGAAAGGUGGCAGAGAGCACCCGGUAUGGGGCUGGGGAGCACCACGCCUGGAUGGAGCCAUUUUCCUAAAUUCCCUCCUCGGCUGUGGUUGGGAUGAGGAGAAGCCGUCCGGGGCUGAGAGCCCCCUGUUCCCGGUGGGAGUUGGAGGCACUCAUAGGUAUGGAAGUACUGUUGUCAAACUCAAAAAAGCUCUCAGUUCUGUUUUGGUUUUUAAUCUUUUUUUUUUUUUUCUUUUUUCUUUUUCUUUCUGGUGACAAAGGGGCGUGAGGCAAAAGCAGGAAUUUACAGCACACUUCAAGCUGAAUGUGAGAGAAAGCCCAUGGCUGACAAGGGACAAUCGGCUUCAUAUGCGAUCAGCACUUAAUAAGCAAUAGCCAUUAAUAUCUAUUAAUUGCAGCUCCAUAGAACUUGGGGAGGGGGGUUCUUGGAAGGGGAGAUUGCUGGCUUUUAGAGCAACGCCAAAAAAGCCCCAUUUAAUCCCAUUAUUAAAACAUCCCCCCCAGCCCCGAACAUCAGUGGGGCUCAGCCUUCACAGCGAGCCCAGACCCGGAGCUGAGCCCCGUUCGUUUGGUUCCUGCUGACCCUCGCUUGGAUGAUUCCCCAAGAAUAGCCAUGUGAUGCUUAAAAGAAAGGUUCGCGUAUUUCUGCACUUGGACUCUGUUUUAAGAUUUCCCCAAAGUUUCCACAUAGUAAUGCAGCUCUCAAGUGGGUCACAUCGGGCUGAUGCUGCAGCUCCAGCUCGCUGGGUUGAGACAGGUUUGUUUUUGUUCCCCUACCAGUGGUGUCACGUCAAACCAACCUCUCCAGCUGCCUUGGACCGAGUUCCCAUUGCAGCUGGGGGUACAAAUCACCGCAGCCCCGAAUGGGUCCCCUAUCCCUUCUGCGGCUUCACCCGUACCCACUGCAGAGCACAACAGCGAUUGCAGCAUCCCUGCUGCUCAUCUGCCCCAAAGCACGAGGGAUACCUUUGAUGAUAUCAUUAAAACCAGCAACAUUUAAAAACAAAAAUCUCACGACCGUGGGUAAAACCCGGGCAGUCGUUUGGGUGCAGCUCGGUUCCUUUGAACCGAGCCUCCCAGUGCACUCAGGGGGCAGCAGCGAAUGUUGUUUUUAAUCACUUUUUCCCCCCAGCUGAACUUUUAUUUGGCUUCUACCAACAAUAGCGGGCUGCAAACAGACCUCUCGGAGCGCCGCUGAAUAGACUCUUUUCUGGCCCGGAUUGUUUCCACCGCCACAAAAACAACCAGGAGCUCCGUGUCUUAAUUGGGCUGUUCCCGGCCCUCGCUCAUUCAUUCAGGUGUUCGCCAGGAAUUUGUUUAUUAGCCUCUGACAAACAGCUCCUCCUGGUAAUCGCCUCAUGGGGUUGGCUUCUGCGGGAGGGGAGGGAUGCGGCGGGGGGGCAUUGCUAAUAAGGACCCCUCAUCUCCAAGUUACCGAUUUACAGAGCUGCAGAGGGGACCACCAACACAGGACGUCUCCCCACGGCUCUCUGUGGAACCCCGCGGAAACGAGAAGAGAAAACACCGAGGGAAAAAAAAAAAAAAAAAAAAAAAAAAAAAAACGAGCACGAAACCCGGUGCUAAAGACGGCGGCAGGAACUUCGUGCAGCUCCCCCCGCUAUUCCCAGUCCCACACGUCGCCCCCCGAGCGCAGCAGCACCGUCCGUGUCCCGCCCGGUCCCACCCAGCCCCGGGGGACGCGGGCACAGCGCGGGGCGGAGCGGAGCAGAGCGGCCCCUGGUGCCCACGCAGCGCCCUUUGCCGCGGGUGUCCCCAACAGCCCCAGGGGCUGCGGGUAUCCCCACUCGCGGCGCUUCACCGACCCUUUCCCCCACUCUCCGGUGGCAGCUGAGCGGUCGCAGAAGUCAUUCUCCAGGAAAACAAACCCACUCGAUCACCUAUUUUUUACCCAUCGAUAACUCGGUGAAUCCUUCCCGCAGUGUUUUCUGUUCGGAUUCAGUAACGCGCCUCAUUUGCUGGCAAUGAUGGUGAGGCGUCUUGUUUAUGAGUCAUAUUAGAAAUGCGGCAUUAAUUGCAAAACUCUAACUUGCUAAUUAGCCGCAAAUAAACUAUUAAUUAGUGGCAAAUUAAAUCAAAACACAUCUUAUUUCUCCCCUCUGACACACAAUUUUGCAGGCACAUAUUGUUUCAAACUGCAGCCUGUAUCACUGGCACAGCAAAUAGAGAUCCUGAAAGGUUUCUCUUCAGGACAAAUAAUUAAAAUAUAUUCUCCUUUAAUUGACAUUAUAGAGGACACAAAUGAGGUUUUCCUUUUAGAAAUAAAUAGCAGUUUCUAAAUAAAGCUCUGCGGGCUGCAGAAUGGAGGUUUCAACCAAAUGAAUAGUCAUUACUACCUUUUCAAUGAUGUGGGCCUUUUGAUCAGAAAAGAAAUUAGCUCUAAAGGACAGACAAUAGGAAGCCUGCCCUGCAAUAGGAAGAAAAUUAGAUGGCUAAGGCUCUUAACAACACCUAUUUCUAUAAACCAUGGAGCUUCUUGCUUUUCAAUUACAGCUGUUCAUUUCAUAGAAGAAAAGUGGAAAAACACAGGGAAUAUAAACUCUGUUGCACCAAGCAGCCCAAAGCCGGACCGGGAGAGUCUUCCCGUUUCCCUUCCAUUUUAGUAGAAUCAGUUAACAAACACUGUAUGUUUUAUGACACCAAGAGCAUCCAAUAUAGCGUUCUCUAGGUCAAACAAACAAUCAAGAUGGACUAUAAUCAUUAAUUUGGGUAGUUGGAUGUUUCCACUGCACACCAACUAACGUAUUUCACACACACAUCACAUCCUUGUCCUCUUUUCGUGCAGAAAACGAAACAAGAAUGGUGAGCUUGAGGAAAAUGAACUGCUAAAUAACACCACUGCCUUUUGGUUACAGAAAAAUUAAUUUCACUUCCCACGAAUUGGAAUGUGCAUUCUUUCAUUACACUCCAAACGGAAAGAUUAUUUUAGACUCGUUCUCCCCAUAACGCUUUUAACUCAAGCAUCCCAGUUAUUUUAGCAAUCCUACUUUUACUUUCAUUUUAAAACUUAACAAUAACUUCAAUAACUUUAAAAUGUGUUCUCUUUCAAAAUAUUUCAUUUGGAUAUUAUUUUCGGAACACUGUUUUUCUUUCUUCCAUUUAAAAUGUUUUCCCACGAGUCCUAGAAAAGCACAUGGAAGCACACCUUUCUUCCUCCAGAACUUCUCCCUACUCAUACCUUCAUGAUGCAAAUGGCUGACAAUUUUCAUUGACUAUGCAUGAUACUGUAAUGGAAAUAAUCUUUCAGUGAUUAUUUGAGUAAGUAACAGCCACGAAGCUUUGUUAUAAACAAGUCCUGUUCUCAUAUUAACUUGUGAGACUAUAAAGAUCUCCUUAGAAAUAAAACAUAA
rnacentral:lncRNA from 1 species